AGGAUGCGAGCGUUAUCCGGAUUUAUUGGGUGUAAAGGGAGCGCAGGCGGCGCGGCAAGUCUGAUGUGAAAGCCCGGGGCUCAACCCCGGGACUGCAUUGGAAACUGUCGCGCUCGAGUGUCGGAGGGGCAAGCGGAAUUCCUAGUGUAGCGGUGAAAUGCGUAGAUAUUAGGAGGAACACCGGUGGCGAAGGCGGCUUGCUGGACGACGACUGACGCUGAGGCUCGAAAGCGUGGGGAGCAA
rnacentral:rRNA from 1 species